CCCUUGUACACACCGCCCGUCACAUCAUGGAAGUUGGUUUUAUCCGAAGCGACUGACUUAACCGCAAGGAAAGAGGUUUCUAAGGUAAGGCCGAUGACUGGGAUG
rnacentral:rRNA from 1 species